AUUGAACGCUGGCGGCAGGCUUAACACAUGCAAGUCGAACGAGUGGCGGACGGGUGAGUAAUGUAUGGGGAUCUGCCUGAUGGCGGGGGAUAACUACUGGAAACGGUAGCUAAUAACGCAUACCAUCAGAUGAACCUAUAUGGGAUUAGCUUGUAGGUGAGGUAACGGCUAACCUAGGCGACGAUACCUAGCUGGUCUGAGAGGAUGAGCAGCCACACUGGGACAGAGACACGGCCCAGACUCCUACGGGAGGCAGCAGUGGGGAAUAUUGCACAAUGGGCGAAAGCCUGAUGCAGCCAUGCCGCGUGUAUGAAGAAGGCCUUCGGGUUGUAAAGUACUUUCAGUCGGUAGGCGUUACCGACAGAAGAAGCACCGGCUAACUCCGUGCCAGCAGCCGCGGUAAUUC
rnacentral:rRNA from 1 species